rnacentral:rRNA from 1 species
AGUCGAGGGGUAGAGGAAGCUUGCUUUCUUGAGACCGGCGCACGGGUGCGUAACGCGUAUGCAAUCUACCUUUUACAGGGGAAUAGCCCAGAGAAAUUUGGAUUAAUGCCCCAUAGUGUAAUUGAAUGGCAUCAUUUGAUUACUAAAGUUCCAACGGUAAAAGAUGAGCAUGCGUCCUAUUAGCUAGUUGGUGUGGUAACGGCACACCAAGGCAACGAUAGGUAGGGGUCCUGAGAGGGAGAUCCCCCACACUGGUACUGAGACACGGACCAGACUCCUACGGGAGGCAGCAGUGAGGAAUAUUGGGCAAUGGGCGCAAGCCUGAUCCAGCCAUGCCGCGUGCAGGAAGAAGCAUCUAUGGUGUGUAAACUGCUUUUGUACGGGAAGAAACACUCCUACGUGUAGGAGCUUGACGGUACCGUAAGAAUAAGGAUCGGCUAACUCCGUGCCAGCAGCCGCGGUAAUACGGAGGAUCCAAGCGUUAUCCGGAAUCAUUGGGUUUAAAGGGUCCGUAGGCGGUUUAGUAAGUCAGUGGUGAAAUCUGGUCGCUCAACGAUCAAACGGCCAUUGAUACUGUUAGACUUGAAUUACUAGGAAGUAACUAGAAUAUGUAGUGUAGCGGUGAAAUGCUUAGAUAUUACAUGGAAUACC